UAUAUUGACCAAAACGAAGAUAUUGGCCCCAGCAUACUUUAUCCUGGGAGGCAACCAGUCUGGGGAGGGCUGUGUGAUUACACGAGACAGAACACAGUCCCUGGAUGUAUAUGAACUCGACCCCAAGCAGGGUAGAUGGUAUGUGGUACAAACAAAUUAUGACCGAUGGAAAAACCCCUUCUUCCUUGAUGAUCGCAGAACACCUGCAAAGAUGUGUCUGAACCAGACAACCCAAGAGAAUAUCUCAUUUUCAACCAUGUAUGAUGUCUUGUCAACAAAACCUGUCCUCAACAAG